rfam:Glossina morsitans morsitans, isolate Yale, WGS project CCAG01000000 data, contig: ctg10004133
GCCCAGCUAGCUCAGUCGGCAGAGCAUGGAACUCUGAAUCUCAGGGCGUGGGUCAAAGCCACGCGCUGGUCC